CCAAUAGCGUAUAUUAAAGUUGUUGCAGUUAAAAAGCUCGUAGUUGAAUUUCGGGGUCAGUAGGUUGGUCAUGCCACUGGUAUGUACUGGUCUCACUGAUUCCUCCUUCCUGAUGAGCUGUAAUGCCAUUAAUUUGGUGUUGCGGGGAAUCUGGACUGUUACUUUGAAAAAAUUAGAGUGUUUAAAGCAGGCUAACGCCUGAAUACAUUAGCAUGGAAUAAUGAAAUAGGACGUUCGAUCCUAUUUUGUUGGUUUCUAGGAUUGACGUAAUGAUUAAUAGGGAUAGUUGGGGGCAUUAGUAUUCAAUUGUCAGAGGUGAAAUUAUUGGAUUUAUUGAAGACUAACUACUGCGAAAGCAUUUGCCAAGGAUGUUUUCAUUAAUCAAGAACGAAAGUUAGGGGAUCGAAGACGAUCAGAUACCGUCGUAGUCUUAACCAUAAACUAUGCCGACUAGGGAUCGGAUGAUGUUAAUUUUUUAAUGACUCAUUCGGCGCCUUACG
rnacentral:rRNA from 1 species